UCAGUAAUUAAGUGUAUGAGGCGCUCGUAUGAGAAAACGUAGUGUAUGUGCAAGCUUUUCAUGUUCAUGUGCAAGAAAGAGUAGUGUGUGCGCAAGAAUUUCAAGAACAUAUGCAAGAAAAAGUACAUGUGAAAGUUUUUAGUGCAUAUGCAACCUAUUCUUGAUAUUUGGCCUAGGGGGCCAUAGGGUGUAACCACAUGCCGUUCUCUAGGCUGCAAUCCUAGGCCUACAUCAGUUAUCUAAACGUAUGCAAGUUCCGCUGCUUUUGUGGCCAUGCUCCGUUGUUCCUGGCGAAGUCGUUGAAAACCAGCCACUACCUGUCUUACAAGGUUUCGAGGCGGUGAACCAUCGGUAGCAGUCUGUUGUCCCUUUGCCACGCGGCUCCACGGCGCAGCUGGUGCAGUACACGAUCCCCAGCGCCAGCAUCACCACGAUGAAGACGCAGAGCGGCACCAGGAGCGCAACC